rnacentral:rRNA from 1 species
CCCUUUGUGAACAUACCCAACUGUUGCUUCGGCGGGUCGGGGCGCCCUCCCGGGGGCGCCCCCCAGGCCCGGUCCCGCUCGGGGCCGAGCGCCCGCCGGAGGAUCACCCAACUCUAUUUUAACGACGUUUCUUCUGAGUGGCACAAGCAAAUAAUUAAAACUUUUAACAACGGAUCUCUUGGUUCUGGCAUCGAUGAAGAACGCAGCGAAAUGCGAUAAGUAAUGUGAAUUGCAGAAUUCAGUGAAUCAUCGAAUCUUUGAACGCACAUUGCGCCCGCCAGCAUUCUGGCGGGCAUGCCUGUUCGAGCGUCAUUUCAACCCUCAAGCCUCGCUUGGUGUUGGGGCACUACGGUCGACGUAGGCCCUUAAAGGUAGUGGCGGACCCUCCCGGAGCCUCCUUUGCGUAGUAACUAACGUCUCGCAUCGGGAUCCGGAGGGACUCCUGCGUAAAACCCCC